GAGUGGGGGAUGCGAAACGAACUCAGUCCCCUGCACGGUUGGUGCCUUCGGGGGCUCCGCUGCCCUGCGCUCCCACCCGCAAGAGGAGCAGCUGGAGAGGGGCUGGUGCCUCUGAACCGCCUGCAACCCAGCACCAGCCAGUCUGAGGUGGUGGAGAAGGAGAAUCUGAGACCGGGACGGAAGGGGAACGUGGCUUUAAGGUCUGCAGGACACACCAAAGAACUCCCCCAAGUCAUGCAAGGGAGAAAAUGAACUUCUCUACUGGCCUCUAUCAGGGAAGCUAAUUUUUUCCCCUUCUUUUUCGAAACUUUCCCAAACCCCAUGACUCUGAUUUCCAGGUAACAGCAUCCCAAUUUUCUCUUAAGAAACCACACACUCCACUUUUAGUUCAUGUGGUUUGGAUAUUGCUGACUUUACACCUGUGCUCUAUGACUCAAGACUCUUCAAUCAGCAUAUUCUAUCCAGGGGUGUGUUGGAGCCAGCUCAUACCAGCUCAUGCAAACCAACGGACCAAGGAAUGCCUGGAGGCACCAGAACCUGGAAGAGACAAGAAACAGAAUCUCCUCUAGAGCUUCUGGAGGUAUCAUGGCCUUGCUGACACCUUGAUUUUGGACCAGUGGCCUCCAGAAAUGUGAGAGAAUAAAUUUCUGUUGUUUU